UGGGGAAUCUUGCACAAUGGGGGCAACCCUGAUGCAGCGACGCCGCGUGAGCGAUGAAGCCCUUCGGGGCGUAAAGCUCUUUCGACCGGAACGAUAAUGACGGUACCGGGAGAAGAAGCUGCGGCUAACUACGUGCCAGCAGCCGCGGUAAUACGUAGGCAGCAAGCGUUGUUCGGAGUUACUGGGCGUAAAGAGUGCGUAGGCGGUUUUCUAAGUUCGGUGUGAAAUCUCCCGGCUUAACUGGGAGGGUGCGCCGAAGACUGGGAAGCUGGCGUGUGGGAAAGGCAGGCGGAAUUCCUGGUGUAGCGGUGAAAUGCGUAGAUAUCAGGAGGAACACCGGCGGUGUAGACGGCUUGCUAGACCAUAACUGACGCUGAGGCACGAAAGCGUGGGUAGCAAACA
rnacentral:rRNA from 1 species